AGUAUCCAGGAGUAGGACUAGCGUCCUAGUUCGGACACCAGGUGAGCAUGUUUCAGUGUGAUGGGGAUUCGAACACGCGACCCUCAGAUUGCGAGUCGAGCGCCCUAACCACCUGGCCAUGCCGGGCCAUUGAUUACAUUAAA